rnacentral:rRNA from 1 species
CACGUAGGGGGCGAGCGUUGUCCGGAUUUAUUGGGCGUAAAGAGCUCGUAGGUGGCUCGGUUAGUCGGGUGUGAAAACUCGGGGCUCAACCCCGAGACGCCACUCGAUACUGCUGUGGCUUGAGUCCGGUAGGGGAGCGUGGAAUUCCUGGUGUGGCGGUGAAAUGCGCAGAUAUCAGGAAGAACACCCGUGGCGAAGGCGGCUCUCUGGGACGGUACUGACGCUGAGACGCGAAAGCGUGGGGAGCGAACAGG